rnacentral:rRNA from 1 species
AGAGGUCCCGAGCGUUGUUCGGAUUCACUGGGCGUAAAGGGUGCGUAGGCGGUCGGGUAAGUCUGACGUGAAAUCUUCAAGCUCAACUUGGAAACUGCGUCGGAUACUAUUCGGCUAGAGGAAUGGAGGGGAGACUGGAAUACUUGGUGUAGCAGUGAAAUGCGUAGAUAUCAAGUGGAACACCAGUGGCGAAGGCGAGUCUCUGGACAUUUCCUGACGCUGAGGCACGAAAGCCAGGGGAGCAAACGGGAUUAGAUACCCCGGUAGUCCUGGCCCUAAACGGUGCACGUUUGCUGUAAGAGGAAUCGACCCCUUUUGUGGCGAAGCUAACGCGUUAAACGUGCCGCCUGGGAAGUACGGCCGCAAGGUUA